rnacentral:rRNA from 1 species
CUGCAACCCGCCUGCAUGAAGUUGGAAUCGCUAGUAAUCGCGGAUCAGCAUGCCGCGGUGAAUACGUUCCCGGGCCUUGUACACACCGCCCGUCACACCAUGAGAGUCGGGAACACCCGAAGUCCGUAGCCUAACCGCAAGGGGGGCGCGGCCGAAGGUGGGUUCGAUAAUUGGGGUGAAGUCGUAACAAGGUACC